rnacentral:rRNA from 1 species
UACGUAGGGUGCAAGCGUUAAUCGGAAUUACUGGGCGUAAAGCGCACGUAGGCGGUUUCUUAAGUCAGAUGUGAAAGCCCCGGGCUCAACCUGGGAAUUGCAUUUGAAACUGGAAAACUAGAGUGUGUGAGAGGGGGGUAGAAUUCCAAGUGUAGCGGUGAAAUGCGUAGAGAUUUGGAGGAAUACCGGUGGCGAAGGCGGCCCCCUGGACAAAGACUGACGCUCAGGUGCGAAAGCGUGGGGAGCAAACAGGAUUAGAAACCCUUGUAGU